GACGAACGCUGGCGGCGUGCUUAACACAUGCAAGUCGAACGGAAAGGCCCCUUUGGGGGUACUCGAGUGGCGAACGGGUGAGUAACACGUGAGUAACCUGCCCUUGACUUCGGGAUAACUUCAUGAAACUGGGGCUAAUACCGGAUAGGAAUCCUUGCUGCAUGGUGGGGGUUGGAAAGCUUCGGCGGUUUUGGAUGGACUCGCGGCUGAUCAGCUUGUUGGUGGGGUAGUGGCUUACCAAGGCUUUGACGGGUAGCCGGCCUGAGAGGGCGACCGGCCACAUUGGGACUGAGAUACGGCCCAGACUCCUACGGGAGGCAGCAGUGGGGAAUAUUGCACAAUGGGCGGAAGCCUGAUGCAGCCACGCCGCGUGCGGGAUGACGGCCUUCGGGUUGUAAACCGCUUUCAGCAGGGGAGAAGCUUGUGGUGACGGUACCUGCAGAAGAAGCACCGGCUAACUACGUG
rnacentral:rRNA from 1 species